UACGGAGGGGGCAAGCGUUGUUCGGAAUUAUUGGGCGUAAAGGGCGUCUAGGCGGCCGGAUAAGUCGGAUGUGAAAUCCCUCGGCUCAACUGAGGAACUGCAUUCGAUACUGUCUGGCUUGAGUCCGGGAGAGGGUAGCGGAAUUCCCAGUGUAGCGGUGAAAUGCGUAGAUAUUGGGAAGAACACCGGUAGCGAAGGCGGCUACCUGGACCGGCACUGACGCUGAAGCGCGAAAGCCAGGGGAGCGAAUGGG
rnacentral:rRNA from 1 species